GAACGUUCUCUAAAGGUUACAACGUUAGGGGAACGUUCUCUGAAGGUUACAACGUUAGGGGAACGUUCUCUGAAGGUUACAACGUAAGGGGAACAUUAAGGGAACAUUCUCUAAAGGUUACAACGUUAUGGGAACGUUCUCUAAAGGUUGCAACGUUAUGGGAACGUUCUCUAAAGGUUGCAACAUUAGGGGAACAUUAAGGGAACAUUCUCUAAAGGUUACAACGUUAUGGGAACGUUCUCUAAAGGUUGCAACAUUAGGGGAACAUUAAGGGAACAUUCUCUAAAGGUUACAACGUUAUGGGAACGUUCUCUAAAGGUUGCAACGUUAGGGUAACAUUAGGGGAACCUUCUGAGAACGUUUGAUGUAACC